ACAGGAUUUGAUGUGGCAGACAGACCAAAAGAUGGCGACUGAAUAAAAAUGACCGUUAAACACACGUUUUCUUCCGGAAUAUAAUAGUUUGGUGUGUGUUUAUUAUUUUAUAUCCGACACAGGUCCCAGAGAGAGCGGCUGUAGCUCACACCUCUGGCGCCACGCAGCGACCGGGCAGCACCACACCGUUACCGUGACAUCAAAAGACAAGUUUGAAAGACGGGGACCUGGUACGGACAGGAAAUGCCGUUUUCAAAGCAGAGAUUACGUCUUCCGACGGAAACUGAGAUAACGGACAAAUAAGAACGGACCGUGUGAGGUGGGCUACACGGUGCGUUCACCAGCCCGUCCAUGGCCGGUGAAGCGUUCCGAUGUGCCGCAGUCUCCAGAUGACGUGACGAGGCGCAUGUACAGCACCACCAAGAAGAAGGAUGUGGAAUCAGAUUCUCUCAGACUCACAGACACAUCGUCGCCGCGGACGACGAGGCCUGCGGCGUCUUCAGGAGCUCAAGACUGAGUUCACAGCUUUGUUUGGACCAGGAGCCAGGACCAGGAGCCAGGACCAGGAGCCAGGACCAGGAGGAGCUGGAGGAGGACGAGGAGCAGCGGGGACAGCUGCAGUUACCAGACGUUUGUCCCGCUGCUCCUUGUCCGCCUGAGCGUCUCCUCCGACCGGCUCCGCGCUCGUGGAAGAUCCGAGUGGCAAAGCGGAAGUGGAUGAUUCCAAUUCAAUUCAUCGAGAGGGGAGGUCGCGGACCGCACUCAGCCAGGAGGAGUCCACUUUUCAUCGGCGGCGCUGAGGAGGGGCUUGCUGGACUUGGUGUACCUGACAUGAGAAGACUGUUGGUGGCAGUGAGGGGCGCCCGGUGGUCCAGUCGAGGUCGAGUCGAAAGAAAUGUGUUUUUAGUCGGCGGCGGAAGAUGUGGUGGCUUCCUGUCCGGAUGUCGAUGGGGAGCUCGUUCCACCAUUUGGGAGCCAGGACAGUGAACAGUCGGGAGUUCGGUGAACGCCUCUGCGAUCCUCUCAGUGAGGGGGCAGCAAGCCAGGGUUUGAUCAUGUCCUGGAUGUAGGCUGGACCGGAUCCGUUUGUAGCAUGGAACGCAAGCACUAGAGUCUUGAAGCGGAUGCGAGCAGCUACAGGAAGCCAGUGAAGGGAGCGGAGGAGCGUAUGGCACAUGCAGGGAGACCAGCCAGGAGACAAGAGCCUGGACCAGAACCUGAACUGCCUUCUGAGUUAGAAGAGGUCAUAUCCUCCUGAUGUUGUGUAACAUGUAUCUGCAGCAAUGUUGGCAGUGAGGGAGAGACGGUUCAGAGACGGUUCAGAGACGGUUCAGAGACGGUUCAGAGACGGUUCAGCCAGGUUCCUUCAGUAUGAGUGACCACAGUGACGGUCAGGUCUGUGGUGGGAGAAAAAGAAACUCUUCUUCUUCCUCUUCUGAUUUUAUUUGGUAGUAACAAGUAAAAAAGAGUUUUGGCCUUGAUCUACUUUUUCUUUUCCUCUGAGACUGAAAAAGAAAUAGGAUUUCAAUCUGUAAAACAUUUGAAAAAGGAUCUCAAAUAUCCAAAAAAAAGUAGAAAAAUAAACUAUGAAAAUGAAUUAUUUAUUCGAUAAUAAUUCCGGAAUAUAGUAUAAAGUAUAUUUAAACUAUAUUUUGAUUUAAUUUGAAUACAUUGUGUUUACGUAGAAAUUUAAAUGUAAUAUUUAUAUUUAACAUUUAAAUUUAAUUAUUUAAUAUAUGUAUACAUGAACAUGGAAAAUGUUAACGUUAAUAAAUUCACAACCUUUGGACAUAGUUUGAAGCGAAUUGUGACAAAAAUGAGAAAAAGCGUUUUCCACACUUUUCGUUUUCACGUGGGCAAAAGAUUUUUGGGAAAAUGAUGUCAUAGUCCGUCUACAGAUCUAGAUUUAUAGAUAUCUCUAUAUACUAAAAUCAAUAAUGAAUACAAAGCGUUGUAAAAUAAGACACACAGCUCAGUUUUUGUUUUUAUUUCAAUGAUAUUUUUUAUAAACAAUAUAUGUUUUAAACAUGAAUUGUUUCCACUAAAAACUAAAGUCUUUAUUUUCUUUUUUUUUACAGCCAUGAGAUCGUCAGGAGGGAAUGAACACUUGAAUAGAACUUGACUUUUACUCUUCUGUUGCAUAAAAAUACAUCAUCAUCAUCAUCA